CGCCCCACUGCGACCCAUAGCGCCCCUCUGAUUGCCCCAUAGCAACACACAGCGACCCAUAGCGCCCCACUGAUUGCCCCAUAGCAACACACAGCGACCCAUAGCACCCCACUCAUUGCCCCAGAGCAACCACAGCACCCCACUGAUUGCCCCAUAGCAACACUCAGCGACCCAUAGCGCCCCACUGAUUGCCCCAUAGCAACACUCAGCGACCCAUAGCGCCCCACUGAUUGCACCAUAGCAACACUCAGCGACCCAUAGCGCCCCACUCAUUGCCCCAUAGCAACACACAGCGACCCAUAGCGCCCCGGAUCAGCGGGGAUCUUUAUUUCCAUGGGGACGGUGACAAUGGGUGGCAGUGACAGGUGAUGGUGACAGGGAUCCAGGUGACACGAUGAUGGUGACACAGGUGACGGUGACAGGGAUCCAGGUGACACCAUGAUGGUGACACGGUGAUGGUGACACAGGUGACAGUGUCAGGGAUCCAGGUGACACCAUGAUGGUGACAUGGAUCCAGGUGACACCGUGACGGUGACAUGGGUGGUGGUGACAGGGAUCCAGGUGACACUGGUGACGGUGACAAGGAUCCAGGCGACACCGUGAUGGUGACACGGGUGACGGCGACGCAGGUGGCAGUGAUGGGGAUACAGGUGACAGUGACACGGGUGUUGGUGACAGUGUCGGCGUCAGUCUUGGUGUUGCUGGUGCCGGUGUUGGUGAUGGUGCCGGUGUCGGUGUUGUUGGUGUUGGUGUCGGUGCCAGUGUUGGUGGUGUUGGUGUUGUUGGCAGUGCCGGUGUUGGUGCCGGUGUUGGUGGUGGUGGUGUUGGCGGUGCCGGUGUUGGUGCCGGUGUUGGUGGUGGUGGUGUUGGCGGUGCCGGUGUUGGUGCCGGUGUUGGUGGUGGUGUUGUUGGCGGUGCUGGUGUUGGUGCCGGUGUUGGUGCCGGUGUUGGUGGUG
rnacentral:lncRNA from 1 species